rnacentral:tRNA from 1 species
GGCUUGGCUCAGAGGUUAGAGCAUAGGUCUCGCAACUCAAAGGUUGCGGGAUAGAAUCCCGCUCAAGGCU